UGUGUGUGUGUGUUUAUAUAUUUUAGGGUGUGUAUCUUUGUGUAUGUGUGCCAGGUAUAUGCAGGUGACUGUAUAGGUGUCACGUUCCUGAGCUAUAUUUACAGGUCAUUGUUAGCUGCCUGACAUGAGUGCUGGGAACUUAAGUGGAGUACUCUGGAGGAGGAGGAGCGAGUGUUGAGCCAUUUUUCUAGCCCCUUAGCUUAAUUUUUUGAGGCAGUGUUUUGUAGUCUAAGAAACCCACUGGAGAUCAUUCUGCCUCAGGUUCCUAAGUGCUAGGAUUAUAGGUACCCUAUGUAGAUUUGGUUCAAAUGCACAAAGUGCCUCCUCUGCCUUCUAAGCCCUAGGGGUCAGAGGCUCAUACCACCAACCCAAACCUUGACUAGUUUUAGAAUUUCUGUAAUUCUUUGUUCAUACCUAACUACUUGUAAAUUUUUGUAAAUAUAAGGUAUGAUUAGUUAAAUUUUGCCUGCUUUAUAUCAGUUCUUUCAAAUCUUUUGAAUUUUUUCAAAAUCUUUAUCUAGUGAAUGUCCUAUUUUUUAGGGUACUAUACAAAAUGAUUGUUCGUAUAUUUUGUUUUGUACAUAUGUAGGUUAUUGGCAAAAAAGCAAGGUUGGCUGAGUCAUUUUAGUUUCUAGAUAUACAAGUAAGUCUCAGAUUGCUGUAGAAGAUGCUCUAAUUUCGUUGUUACAUUAGUUGGUUUUUGUUUUUCUUUGGAGGUAGAAGGAAGACACUGACUGAUUACUGGCCCCUAACUUGCAGUCUUCAUGUCUCAGUGUUUCAAAUGCUAUGAUUGCAGGAACGUUCCACUAAAUGUGUUUGUAAUACUACUACAAUUCUGCUUCCUCCACACCUGCCUCUUUCCUCCCUCCUUUCCUUCCCCGAUUUGUCGUUUGUCUGUCUGCCAUGAGAUCCUCUAACCUGAGACUUUUUAAGAUUAAUUUUUCUUUUGUGAGUUUGUUGUUUUUGUUGUUUUUCUUGAGACAGGGUUUCUCUGAAUAGCUCUGGCUGUCCUGGAACUCUCUUUGUAGACCAGGCUGGCCUUGAACUCAGGCAGCUGCCUCUGUCUCCCAAGUGCUGGGAUUAAAGGCGUGCGCCACCACCACACUGCAUCUGUUGUAUUUUAUCUGCAUGUAUAUCUGUGUACCACAUGCAUGCCUGGUGCUGGAUGAGGGUGUCAUAGCAAAAAGAGGGUGUCACACCUCCUGUAACUAUAGUUGCAGAUCAUUGUUAGCUGCCAUGUCGGUGCUGAGAACAGAACCAAGUCCUGUGAAAGAGCAACCACUGAGCCAUCUCAUCAGCCCAGAAAAAUGUUUCUCAUGAGGAUGCAUUUAAAAUGAAUCUAAUGAGUGGUAAACAACGCAGCUAUGGCAGCAAAUAUCUAUAACCCUAACAUCUCAAGAGUAUCAGGCUGGAGCUGGAGAGAUGGCUCAGUGAUAGCCUGAGUUCAGAUCCCCAGGAUUGGUAGGAGAGAAUCAGUUCCCACAUGUUGGUCUCUGUCCUCCACAUUUACUCCAUGGCAAGUGUCUGUGCAUGUGAACAAAGAAAAUAAAAUAUAAUAAAACAAGAAAGGCCAUCACAUUCC
rnacentral:lncRNA from 1 species